rnacentral:tRNA from 1 species
AUUUAUAUAAUUUAAAAAAAAUAUUACAUUUUCAUUGUAAACUUAAGAAAAUACCUUUAUAAAUU